GCCACGGUGGUCUAGCGGUUAGAACGCUGGUCUUGUAAUCCUGGGGUCUCGGGUUCGAUUCCCGGCGGUGCUC
rnacentral:tRNA from 1 species